rnacentral:rRNA from 1 species
CUAAACUGAGGAAAGUCGACCGAUACUGAUCGGCUAGAGGGACGUAGAGGUAAGCGGAACUCUCGGAGUAGCGGUGAAAUGCGUAGAGACCGAGAGGUACCCCGAUGGUGAAGACAGCUUACUGGGCGUCUCCUGACGCUGAAGCGCUAAGGCCAGGGGAGCGAAGGGGAUUAGAUACCCCCGUAGUCCUGGCUUCAAACGAUGUGGGCUUGGUGUCGGCUCCCGAUAGAGAGUCGUUGCCGGAGCUAACGUGUUAGGCCCACCGCCUGGGGAUUACGUCCGCAAGGAUGAAACUCAAGGGAAUUGACGGGGGCCCACACAACCGGUGGAGCACGUGGUUUAAUUCGAUGAUAAGCGAAGAACCUUACCAGGGCUUGACCUAGCGGUAGUAGAACCCUGAAAGGGGAACGAACCGAAGCUUUGCUUCGGGAGCC